UUCGUAGGCGGUGCGGCAAGUCGGAAGUGAAAUCCCUGGGCUUAACUCAGGGGCUGCUCCCGAAACUGCCGUGCUCGAGUGCGGGAGAGGCGAGUGGAAUUGCAGGUGUAGCGGUGAAAUGCGUAGAUAUCUGCAGGAACACCCGUGGCGAAGGCGGCUCGCUGGACCGCAACUGACGCUGAGGAACGAAAGCUAGGGGAGCAAGCAGGAUUAGAUACCCUGGUAGUCCUAGCCCUAAACCAUCAGGACUUGGGGUGCAUCCCGUUCGGGGUGCGUCCCGGAGCUAACGCGUUAAGUCCUGCGCCUGGGGAGUACGGUCGCAAGGCUGAA
rnacentral:rRNA from 1 species